AUCACUCUGUGUUGGAUUUUCCCAGCGGCGCACGACGUAAAGUUUGUUUACCCCGGGCUUCUGUGCCAGUCCUGCAUCUCCCGAUCAGGGGAGGGUGAUCGGUAUAAAAUCGCCCAAUGGCACACGGAGGGACAUAGCGCCUCGAGCUUUCAGCGAUCUCAGUCGUCGAAGUUGACUCUACAUAAACCUCAGCCAUGUUCCGCGCCGCCCUGCUGCUGCUGGCUGUCCUGGUCGCCGUGCUGGCGGUGGCCUGGGCUGACCCAGAGCCCGCCCCCGUCGACGAGAGCGUAGCAGUUUCCUACGUGGCCGAUAACGUGGCGCACGGCUACGUCGCAGACAACGUGGCGCACGGCUACGUCGCUGAGAACGUCGCCCAUGGCUACGCCCUGCCGUGAGCGGCCGCCGAAUGCCGCUCCAGGUCACCAUGGCCCGAGGAAAGGUUACCAGGUCAACGAGAGAGCCCACGCUGGACGCCUGGGUAAAACUGAUCAGCGACUUCGGAUUCAGACUCUCCUAGGGGUAGUUGCCAGAGGUUGAGCUCGAUCUCUAUUUUUUAGAUUGGCUUAGAGAGUGGCAACUACGGUUUUACUUAGUGAAAUGGCAGAAUCGUUCGGAUUCGAUACACUGGAUCAUAUUUUGGAGACUACUGAAAGGAAUGCACUUGCUCUGAAAAUUAACAGCGAUUAUCUAUGGGCUCAGCCGCUGCACCCAUCCUUUUAGUGCUGUGUUUUGGUGGCAUGAAUAAAAGGCAGUGAAACUC